rnacentral:rRNA from 1 species
AUGGCCGGAGCAGCAAACGAUCUGAAGCUACUGGGCAUGUGGGCGAGCCCGUACGUCCUGCGGGUGCGCCUUGCUCUCAGCAUCAAGAGCAUCAGCUACGAGUACGCAGAGGAGGACCUCCGGCACAAGAGCGAGCUGCUCCUGCGGUCAAACCCCGUCCACAACAAGGUCCCCGUGCUGAUCCACGCCGGCAAGCCCGUCUGCGAGUCGCUGGUCAUCCUACAGUACAUCGACGACGCUUUCGGCGGUGCCGGCCCCGCCCUCCUCCCGGCCGAUCCCCACGAGCGCGCCGUCGCCCGGUUCUGGGCCGCCUUCAUCGAGGACACGCUCGUGAAGGCGAUGAACCAGGCGUCAUGGAGCAAGACGGAGGCGGAGAAGGUGGAGGGGAACAAACGGGCGACUGCUGCGUUGAACACCCUGGAGGCGGCCCUGAGGGAUGUCUCCAAGGGGAAGCCCUUCUUCGGGGGCGACAGCACCGGGUAUGUGGACAUCGUGCUCGGCGGCCUCCUCGCGGGGGUGCGCGCCAUGGAGGCGAUGCCGGGCGUCAAGGCCUUCGACCCCGUCACGAUGCCGCUCCUGGCCGCGUGGGCGGACCACUUCGGCGCGCUGGACGCGGUGGCGGCCGUGAUGCCGGACGUGAGCAAGCUCGUGGAGCUCUUCAUCACGAUGCACGCUGCUGUUGCGGCAAACUAA